AGGCCUUGGGGUUGAAACAACCUUAACCUAUUCUCAAACUUUAAAUAUGUAAGAAGCCCUUGUUGCUUAAUUGAACGUGGGCAUUAGAAUGAUGCGUUACUAGUGGGCCAUUUUUGGUAAGCAGAACUGGCGAUGCGGGAUGAACCGAACGCAGCGCUAAGGUACCCAAGUGUCCGCUCAUCAGAGACCACAAAAGGCGUUGGUACCUCCAGACAGCAGGACGGUGGCCAUGGAAGUCGGAACCCGCUAAGG
rnacentral:rRNA from 1 species